UACGUAGGGUGCGAGCGUUGUCCGGAAUUAUUGGGCGUAAAGAGCUUGUAGGUGGCUCGUCGCGUCGGGAGUGAAAACCCGCGGCUUAACCGCGGGCCUGCUUUCGAUAUGGGCGGGCUAGAGUUCGGCAGGGGAGACUGGAAUUCCUGGUGUAGCGGUGGAAUGCGCAGAUAUCAGGAGGAACACCGGUGGCGAAGGCGGGUCUCUGGGCCGAUACUGACACUGAGAAGCGAAAGCGUGGGGAGCGAACAGG
rnacentral:rRNA from 1 species